rnacentral:rRNA from 1 species
GCAUAUCCAAAAAGCGGAGGAAAAGAAACCAACAGGGAUUGCCUUAGUAACGGCGAGUGAAGCGGCAAAAGCUCAAAUUUGAAAUCUGGCACCUUCGGUGUCCGAGUUGUAAUUUGAAGAAGGUAACUUUGGAGUUGGCUCUUGUCUAUGUUCCUUGGAACAGGACGUCACAGAGGGUGAGAAUCCCGUGCGAUGAGAUGCCCAAUUCUAUGUAAAGUGCUUUCGAAGAGUCGAGUUGUUUGGGAAUGCAGCUCUAAGUGGGUGGUAAAUUCCAUCUAAAGCUAAAUAUUGGCGAGAGACCGAUAGCGAACAAGUACAGUGAUGGAAAGAUGAAAAGAACUUUGAAAAGAGAGUGAAAAAGUACGUGAAAUUGUUGAAAGGGAAGGGCUUGAGAUCAGACUUGGUAUUUUGCGAUCCUUUCCUUCUUGGUUGGGUUCCUCGCAGCUUACUGGGCCAGCAUCGGUUUGGAUGGUAGGAUAAUGACUAAGGAAUGUGGCUCUACUUCGGUGGAGUGUUAUAGCCUUGGUUGAUACUGCCUGUCUAGACCGAGGACUGCGUCUUUUGACUAGGAUGUUGGCAUAAUGAUCUUAAGCCACCCGUCUUGAA